GAUGAACGCUGGCGGCGUGCCUAAUACAUGCAAGUCGAGCGAACAGACGAGGAGCUUGCUCCUCUGACGUUAGCGGCGGACGGGUGAGUAACACGUGGAUAACCUACCUAUAAGACUGGGAUAACUUCGGGAAACCGGAGCUAAUACCGGAUAAUAUAUUGAACCGCAUGGUUCAAUAGUGAAAGACGGUUUUGCUGUCACUUAUAGAUGGAUCCGCGCCGCAUUAGCUAGUUGGUAAGGUAACGGCUUACCAAGGCGACGAUGCGUAGCCGACCUGAGAGGGUGAUCGCCCACCUUGGAGCUGAGACACGGUCCAGACUCCUACGGGAGGCAGCAGUAGGGAAUCGUCCGCAGUGGGCGAAAGCCUGACGGAGCAACGCCGCGUGAGUGAUGACGGUCUUCGGAUCGUAAAACUCUGUUAUUAGGGAAGAACAAAUGUGUAAGUAACUAUGCACGUCUUGACGGUACCUAGUCAGAAAGCCACGGCUAACUACGUG
rnacentral:rRNA from 1 species